rnacentral:rRNA from 1 species
GAGAGCUUGCUCUCUGGGUGGCGAGUGGCGGACGGGUGAGGAAUACGUCGGAAUCUGCCUAUUUGUGGGGGAUAACGUAGGGAAACUUACGCUAAUACCGCAUACGACCUACGGGUGAAAGCGGAGGACCUUCGGGCUUCGCGCAGAUAGAUGAGCCGACGUCGGAUUAGCUAGUUGGCGGGGUAAAGGCCCACCAAGGCGACGAUCCGUAGCUGGUCUGAGAGAAUGAUCAGCCACACUGGAACUGAGACACGGUCCAGACUCCUACGGGAGGCAGCAGUGGGGAAUAUUGGACAAUGGGCGCAAGCCUGAUCCAGCCAUGCCGCGUGUGUGAAGAAGGCCUUCGGGUUGUAAAGCACUUUUGUCCGGAAAGAAAAGCAUUCGGUUAAUACCCGGGUGUCAUGACGGUACCGGAAGAAUAAGCACCGGCUAACUUCGUGCCAGCAGCCGCGGUAAUACGAAGGGUGCAAGCGUUACUCGGAAUUACUGGGCGUAAAGCGUGCGUAGGUGGUUUGUUAAGUCUGAUGUGAAAGCCCUGGGCUCAACCUGGGAAUGGCAUUGGAUACUGGCUUACUAGAGUGCGGUAGAGGGGUGUGGAAUUCCCGGUGUAGCAGUGAAAUGCGUAGAUAUCGGGAGGAACAUCUGUGGCGAAGGCGACACCCUGGACCAGCACUGACACUGAGGCACGAAAGCGUGGGGAGCAAACAGGAUUAGAUACCCUGGUAGUCCACGCCCUAAACGAUGCGAACUGGAUGUUGGGAGCAACUAGGCUCUCAGUAUCGAAGCUAACGCGUUAAGUUCGCCGCCUGGGAAGUACGGUUGCAAGACUGAAACUCAAAGGAAUUGAC